AUUUUGCGGAUCUAUGGGGAAGCAUCGGGCCAGUGCGUAAAUCGGGACAAAAGUGCAAUAUAUUUCAGCCCGAAUACCUCACAAACAUUCAGGCAAGCUUUGAAAGGGAUUCUUGGAGUGCAUGCUGAAACCUUCAGCGAGAGAUAUCUUGGACUCCCAACAGCUGUUGGAAAGAUCACAAGCGGCACCUUUGAGCAUAUUGGGGAUCGA
rnacentral:rRNA from 1 species